GACGAACGCUGGCGGCGUGCUUAACACAUGCAAGUCGAACGGAAAGGCCCCUUUGGGGGUACUCGAGUGGCGCACGGGUGAGUAACACGUGAGUAACCUGCCCUUGACUUCGGGAUAACUUCAGGAAACUGGGGCUAAUACCGGAUAGGAAUCCUUGCUGCAUGGUGGGGGUUGGAAAGCUUCGGCGGUUUUGGAUGGACUCGCGGCUUAUCAGCUUGUUGGUGGGGUAAUGGCUUACCAAGGCUUUGACGGGUAGCCGGCCUGAGAGGGCGACCGGCCACAUUGGGACUGGGAUACGGCACAGACGCCUACGGGAGGCAGCAGGGGGGAAUAUUGCACAAUGGGCGGAAGCCGGAUGCAGCAACGCCGCGUGCGGGAUGACGGCCUUCGGGUUGGAAACCGAUUUCAGCAGGGGCGAAGCUUGUGGUGACGGUACCUGCAGAAGAAGCACCGGCUAACUACGUG
rnacentral:rRNA from 1 species